rnacentral:rRNA from 1 species
AACGAACGCUGGCGGCAGGCUUAACACAUGCAAGUCGAACGCUCGUAGCAAUACGGGAGUGGCGGACGGGUGAGUAACGCGUGGGAACGUGCCCUGAGGUACGGAAUAACUGAGGGAAACUUCAGCUAAUACCGUAUGAGCCCCGAGAGGGGGAAAGAUUUAUCGCCUUGGGAGCGGCCCGCGUCGGAUUAGCUAGUUGGUGGGGUAACGGCCUACCAAGGCUUCGAUCCGUAGCUGGUCUGAGAGGACGAUCAGCCACACUGGGACUGAGACACGGCCCAGACUCCUACGGGAGGCAGCAGUGGGGAAUCUUGCGCAAUGGGGGCAACCCUGACGCAGCCAUGCCGCGUGAACGAUGAAGGCCUUAGGGUUGUAAAGUUCUUUUACCCGUGACAUGAUGACGGUAACGGGGAAUAAGCUCCGGCUAACUUCGUGCCAGCAGCCGCGGUAAU